CAGCAGACAGCAUGACGGCCUUCUCCUUGCCUGCCCCCAGGGCCUGGUGCAGGCUCUCUUCUGCCCACCCUACCCAGCUUGGGGGCCCCACCCCAUCACGGCCCUCAUGAGCCUCUCGGGGCAUCCUCCUGGAUGGCAUCGCAGCGGGCAUUGGCCUCCCCUCCAUGCCCACCUCCAAUUCUGAUCAGGAGCACCCCUCACCCACAGUAGGACUGGAAGCUCUAUCGGGCCAGAAGGUGCACAGGGGGCCAGGGGACUUGGACUUGAGUCCACCUCGUGGCUGUGUGAUGGUGGACAGGUGGCGUGCCUUCUCUGGGCCUCAGUGUCCUUUUUGCUAAAGUAGGAAUGGCGCUGUCCCAUGACCCGGUUUGGGGACACUACGUGGAAGGAAGCAUCCACAGCACAAGGUGCCGCUCGCCCUCGUGUGCCCGGGGUGGCUGCCAAGGGGCCGGCAGCGUCGCCACGUGUCGGGGCUGGCCUGAGUUCCGUGUCCCUGGAAUCUACAGCCUGUGUUCCGUGAAGGCAGAGCAUGACUGGGCAGCAGGCAGCGGGGGUUCUAAUGCCGAGAUUUCCCUUCCCCCCAACUCCUGCCCACCCCGGCGCCUUCC
rnacentral:lncRNA from 10 species